UACGGAGGGUGCGAGCGUUGUCCGGAAUCACUGGGCGUAAAGGGCGCGUAGGUGGCGACCCAAGUCCAUGGUGAAAGCUCGAUGCUCAACAUCGAGUCGGCCACGGAUACUGGGUUGCUGGAGCACUGUAGAGGCAGAUGGAAUUCCGGGUGUAGCGGUGGAAUGCGUAGAGAUCCGGAAGAACACCGGUGGCGAAGGCGGUCUGCUGGGCAGUUGCUGACACUGAGGCGCGACAGCGUGGGGAGCAAACAGG
rnacentral:rRNA from 1 species